rnacentral:rRNA from 1 species
GAAUAUUGGACAAUGGGCGAAAGCCUGAUCCAGCCAUGCCGCGUGUGUGACGAAGGUCUCCGGAUUGUAAAGCCCUUUAAAUUGGGAGGAAGGGCGGUAAGCGAAUACCUUGCUGUCUUGACGUUCCCUGCACGAUCAGCACCGGCUAACUCUUUGCCAGCAACCGCGGUAAUACAGAGGGUGCAAGCGUUAAUCGGAAUUACUGGGCGUAAAGCGCGCGUAGGUGGUUCGUUAAGUUGGAUGUGAAAUCCCCGGGCUCAACCUGGGAACUGCAUCCAAAACUGGCGAGCUAGAGUAGGGCAGAGGGUGGUGGAAUUUCCUGUGUAGCGGUGAAAUGCGUAGAUAUAGGAAGGAACACCAGUGGCGAAGGCGACCCCCUGGGCUCAUACUGACACUGAGGUGCGAAAGCGUGGGGAGCAAACAG